GCAGAUUGGGUCAUACGGAGUGUUCCCACAUCAAAACCCAGAGUAAUAACCCUAAUCAACUAACAACAGUGGAAAGGCCCAAAGAGGCAGAGGAAUGGAAGACAGACACCUUCACCAGAAGGAGAAAACUUGUCCAGCUUAAUCCUCCCAAGUAGGGGUGGGCGUUCGGUAUUCGGUUCGAUAUUUUCAAAGUUCGGGUUCGGUAAUCGGUAUUUGAACAUAGAUACCACAUACCAUACUUAUAAACAUCGGUUUGGUAGUUCGGUAAUCGGUAAUUAAACUUCGGUUCGGUAUGGUAUUUGGUAAUACCAUAUUAAAGUAUACUUAUGAACAUCGGUUUGGUAAUUCGGUAAUCGGUAAAUUAAACUUUAAUUCGAUACGGUAUUUGGUUUUACCAUAUUAAAGUUGGAGAUGUACAAAUGUACGUUUAAACUUCAAAGAAUAGAUUUAAUAGAAACCUUAUUUAGUAUUCUUUUUGUUUCUUUUUACGAAUAUAUUACCAAGUUUCAAGAGAUUUUUUGGAAUGACUAAUACUAUUAUCUAUUGGGUUGGUUAGACACACACACACACACACAUAUAUAUAUAUAUAAUAGUUUACACAUACGCGUCUUGCGCGUGUACCUCAAUUUAGUGAGUUUAAUUUUAUAAAAUCAUCUAAAAUAUAAAAAAUAUGAUGGUCUUUCAAAAUAUUUAUUGAAUUUUUUAAUUAGCAUCUUGACAUUAGGGCAACUUUCAGUUAUUAUCUAAUUCUAUGAAAAAAUAGAAAUUAGCCAACCAAAAAGCAUGUAUGUUAGUUUAAACACAAGAAAGUUUACAAAAAAAAGUAUAUUCUCUUUAGUUCUUCCUUGAACCAUUCUUCUUCACCUAUACUAAAGAAGAAGAAGAAAGAAUGAGACAAGCCUUUGAUAUUUUUGACCACUUUAGUCGGUAAUGACAUGCUUAUUUCUUCCAAUUUUCGAUCAAAAAUUUCCUACGAAAAAAAGUAGAUAGAUUAAACUCGAUUUACAACGAAUAAUGUACUUGAUCUGCUUGCAAACAUAAUUAGUAAGCCCAAAAUUGAAAGAUUCGACUAUAAUCCUAAAUUUAUAUUUUCAUCAUUCAAACAAAAGUUAUACAUAUCAAGAUUUAACACUUAUUAUAACCUUAAAUUUAGAACUUAACUAACAAAUUUAAUUAAAGAUGCAACUAUAACACUAACGAAAUUGUUAAAUAACAUAAUCAAAACAAAGUCACAGUUGAACUAAAGAAGAAAAAAAAAAGAAUGAGACAAACUUUUGAUAUUUAUGACCACUUUAUUCAGUGGUGACAUGCUUACUUCUUUCAAUUUUCGAUCAAAAAUUUUCUACGAAAAAAGAAACACGAUAAUUUAUUAAAAAGGAGAAUUCAUUGUCUUGUUAAUUAUUUAAUCAUAAUUUAUAUAUAAUAAUUAAAGUUAUUAACUAAAAGGAAUAAAGAAAGAUGAAGAAGAUGAUAAUAAUAAAUAAAUACAUAAAAAGACAACUUGAAUUAAUAACAAAAUAAGAAGAAAAAGUAGAAUUAGAGCUACGUUUCUUGUAAAUUUUGAUCCAAAAUAUUAUUUAAAUAGAAUUGUAUUUUUUUUUAUGUAAGGUAAAAUUUUAAUUGAUCUAGAAGUGUUAAAUAUUAUGAAUUCUUACUUAAAUUAAAUAAUCAAACCAAAAAAGACUAUAACUAAAAUUAAUUGUGAACAAAAUCUUUAUCCAAAAUGAUACAUAUGUGAGUUUUUAAAGAAAAAAAAUGCCAAAAUAGUACCAUCAACUAAUUAAAGUUUUUAAAGAUUUAUUUAAGAUACAAUUUUAGUUGAUUUAAAAAAUUUUAAUUGUAGGUAUAUAAUUUAAAUAAGAAAAGGUUUAAGAAUUAGGUUUUAAUGAAUUAUUUGGUGGUAUAAGUUUGUUAAUUGGAGUUUCAUGCAGAACUCUCUUCGUUGUAUUACUACUAUUCCUUAUUCCUUAUAUAUAAUAGUAUAGUAGGGAACUUUUUUUCCAAAAAUAAUGGUAGUUUUUCAUAAAGGAAGACAUUAUUAUUUUACCAAAAUAUUAGUAUAAAUAAACCAAAAAUCUACGGUAUAAUAUAAAGAAAAUUUUUAUGGUAGUUUUUUUUUUUUCCAAGAAAUAUAAUAUUAGUUUGCCAAAUUUUCAAAUGCCUAAAUUAUUUAAGGUACUAUGUUCAUGAAAAAUUUAUAUAUAAAUAUAAAUGCGUUAAAAUAAGAAAAAAAUAUGAAGAGCCAACUUUUAAAAGUUUUAAGUAACUAAUAUAUAUUAUUACGCUAAUAAUAUUAAAAAUAAAAGUUCCAAAAAUAAAAUUCUCCUCAAAUUAAAAUUCUCAAAGCUGCCGACUUAGUCAAUUUUUUUUCCAAAAAUAAAAUCCUCCUUACAUUAAACUUUCAAAGUUUACCUUUUUUUACUUUUUUAUUUUAUCAUAUAUUUUAGGAAUCCUUAGUUUUAUAUUUUAGGAAUUAAUAUUAUAAAUAUAAUUAUAUAAUAAAGGGAGAUUAGUAUCUCACAAGAAAUUCACUGUAAUAAUCAGGAAAGAAGGAACGGCCCUUUGUUGAACUGGUGUAACAGAGUUUUGGCAUAUGUCGUUUACAAGACCUUUUGCAUCUUCCCCUUCGUUGAACAUGUAGAGCAGAAUUUCGUGAGUCGUCUAUAAGAUUUUGUGCAUCUGUGGAUGCAGUUCAAUGAUCAUUCUUCUUCCUUGGAUGAAAGCUUGUAAGAGAGCUCUGCACGAGCUUCUUCUAACUUCACAAAAAGCUCCUUCAUGAAAGUGGUGUUUGUUCCAUGAGUAAUUCGCAGUAUCUCCGCUGCCUUGGCCAGUGAUCUGUAAGCUUCCUCAGUCUCACCAAGCCACCUGAAAUUACAAAUCAGCACCACAGACAAUCAUUAACGAAAUCACCACUUUCUUGACCUUUUUCAUGUCUUCAAGAAGCUCAAGAUUUGCAACAAAUGGUAUAACUAGAACAAGAAAUCCUAUUGACUGAGAAACUGUAUUAACUUCAUUAAUAGUUUUUUAAGUCACAUAAUUUUUACUUGAUAACUUUUUUUUUUUGAUGAAGUAAUAAGAAAUUUCAUUGCUGGCAUCAAGAAGAUGCAGAAUAGUACAAAAAGUUAGAGAAAGACAGCAGUACAUUAGCUCAAAAACAAAAGAGCUACACUAGUACCAAGGAGUUAACAAAGUUCAAAAAGUUCUCAGGGAAAUCUAUGGGUGAAAGGUUAUGCCAACUAUAUAGAUACAAAAGACACCUAGCCUUAAGGGAGUGAUUUGGAGUUGAUAAACCUUCAAAACAUCUUUUGUUCCUUUCGGAUCAUACACACCAACAAAUACAAGAAGGUAUCAUCUUCCAGAUUGGCUUGAUGCCCUUACCAACUCUCCAAUUGCACCAGCACUCAAAGGACUCUUUGGUGCUAUGUGGCAUUACCCAAUUAAUAUCAAAUAUAGACAGAAACAUACUCCAUAAGCCAGCAGCAACUUUACAAUGUAAAAAUAGAUGAUUGUUGGACUCAACGUUCUGAUGGCACAUGUAACAUCUGUUGGCAAUCUGAAAUUUCCUUUUCUUAAGGUUAUCUUGAGUGAGGUACCUGAUAAAUUAAAAAUCCCCGUGACCAUGACGCAUUCGAAACUUGGUGGAUAAUGUGCACCCCCCUCUACCCUUCUCCACUUAAAAUAUCAAACAGUCUGCUAGUACAAUUGAUCCAUGAAGUGCAUCUAACCCACGCCUCACGUUGCACCAGACCAAACCUUCGGGGCAUUUUAAAGUCACAUACUUUCAUGCUGUUGAUAAAGAAAAUGUUUAAUCAUGGAUAAAAUUGUUGAAUUAUACCAAAAAAUAACAGGCUUUGGUUUCUUUACACGUUCAGGAACUGCGACCAAGAUCUAACAAAAUAAAACAGAAGAAGCCAGGAGGAGCGAAUCUCCAAACCACGAAAUCAUUGCAGUGUUGCAGAAUACAUCUAAUCAUUAGUACUAGUGAAGUUGGAUCAGAGAGUGAACGACCACCCUCUCUCUAAACUCCCCACCCUUUCCUCCUCCCAACAUGCAGGUAUGACCAACACUGCAACAACCAGUAUGGACCCCUCCACCCAGAUUCCACUGGAGCCACCGGACAUCAGUGAUUGCCAAAUGGAAGAAGACACCAAUCAAAAGAACUCUUUCGUAGACGUGGUGAAGGAGAAAAACCUCAUCACUACCAUCACAUACCCUCUCGAACUUGAGAACCAAUCCCCAAUCUCAUCCGAAUUGGAGGAAAUUAUCCUCCUGACCGUGGAAGAGAAACUACGUCUGUAUACCACAUGGAAAUACUGUCAUCAUCAAAUUAUUUGGAAAGAAACUCAAUCACCUCUACCUUAAAACAAAGCUGACCGACCUAUGGAAAUUAAAAGAAAUGAUCAUUCUCACAGAUCUUGGAUCAAACUUUUUCACCGUCAAAUUUGACCUGGAAGAAAUCCAAGAGAGUAUUUCACGAGGGGCCGUGAUUCAUUGCGGGACUCUUCCCAACUCUCCUCCACAGUGACAUGGCUUAGACUGCCGCAACUCCCAACAGAAUUCUACGACAAGAUAAUCCUGGAAAAGAUUGAGAGGAAAAUUGGCGAACUUCUAAAGAUUGAGUCCUGCCCAUCCUCCAAUCUAAGAGGGAGAUAGUCAGGAUAUGUAUCCAAGUACCCUUGGAAACUCCGGUUAAAACUAGCAUUUUAAUCAGACAACAUAAACAUCUUAUUUGCUAUGAAAGUGAAGGAAUUCUAUGCAAAGGGUGUGGCAGAUUGGGUCAUACGGAGUGUUCCCACAUCAAAACCCAGAGUAAUAACCCUAAUCAACUAACAACAGUGGAAAGGCCCAAAGAGGCAGAGGAAUGGAAGACAGACACCUUCACCAGAAGGAGAAAACUUGUCCAGCUUAAUCCUCCCAAGUAGGGGUGGGCGUUCGGUAUUCGGUUCAAGGUUCGGGUUCGGUAAUCGGUAUUUGAACAUAGAUACCACAUACCAUACUUAUAAACAUCGGUUUGGUAGUUCGGUAAUCGGUAAUUAAACUUCGGUUCGGUAUGGUAUUUGGUAAUACCAUAUUAAAGUUGGAGAUGUGCAAAUGUAUGUUUAAACUUCAAAGAAUAUAUUUAAUAGAAAUCCUAUUUAGUAUUCUUUAUGUUGCUUUUUACGAAUAUAUUACCAAGGUCCAAGUGAUUUUUUGGGAUGACUAGUACUAUUGUCUAUUGGGUUGGGUUAAACACACACACACACAUAUAUAUAUUCGAUAUUCGGUAAAUACUGAAUACCAAAUGGUAUUAAUAUCUUGUACCAAACCCAAUCCCGAAUACCAAAAUAUUGAAAUUUUACUCCCAAAUACCAUACUAAAU
rnacentral:lncRNA from 1 species